rfam:Streptomyces sp. MTSC 1 54, whole genome shotgun sequence.
CACUUCUUGCCCCGGCCGUCGAGCACCUGGCCACCGAAGGCGUCCCCGUCGGCCAUCAGGCCGAUCACGGCCUCGUCCCCGUACGGACCCUCGCCGAGCUUCUCGACCUUGCCGUGCGCGAUCAGGUACACGUGGUCGGCCUUGCGGCCCUCCUGCACGAUGACCUGGCCGGCGGUGAACUCCUUCUGCACGAACUUGUCGGCCAGCGCACCGAGCGCGUCGCUGUCGCAGAAGCCGCGCAGCAGGGGCAGUUCACCCAGUUCGGCGGGGACCACCUGGACCUUGGAGCCGGUCUUCACGAAACUCACCCGGCCAUCGCCCAGGGUGUAGGAGAGGCGGCGGUUGACCCGGUAGGUCGCGCCGGGCACGUUCACCCAGGGCAGGAUGCGGGUCGCCCAGCGGGAGCUGAUGCCCUGCAUCUGGGGUUCGGACUUGGUGGUGGUGGCGAGAUUGCGCGCCGCCGCGGUACUGAGACUCUGCUGGUCCUGCCGC